GGGUGAGACUGAGGAGAGCAGCAGGUACCUGCCCGGGGGUAAGAGGGAAGCCACCACGGCCGCGCCUCUGCCAACCCCAUCCAACAGAGCCCGACGACAACGUCUCGCAGCUGAGAAGAAUAUUCAUGGAUCAAAAUAUCUUCUGCACCACCAUCGGACUGCUAAUUGGUGCUUGGAAGCUUUCCUAGAAUCCCAUCAGAAGGAUGUGGCAUCCGGGGCGGGGGGAAAAAAUAAAAAAGAUCAUCAGAUGAA